rnacentral:rRNA from 1 species
GAUGAACGCUGGCGGCGUGCCUAAUACAUGCAAGUCGAGCGAAUGGAUUAAGAGCUUGCUCUUAUGAAGUUAGCGGCGGACGGGUGAGUAACACGUGGGUAACCUGCCCAUAAGACUGGGAUAACUCCGGGAAACCGGGGCUAAUACCGGAUAACAUUUUGAACCGCAUGGUUCGAAAUUGAAAGGCGGCUUCGGCUGUCACUUAUGGAUGGACCCGAGUCGCAUUAGCUAGUUGGUGAGGUAACGGCUCACCAAGGCAACGAUGCGUAGCCGACCUGAGAGGGUGAUCGGCCACACUGGGACUGAGACACGGCCCAGACUCCUACGGGAGGCAGCAGUAGGGAAUCUUCCGCAAUGGACGAAAGUCUGACGGAGCAACGCCGCGUGAGUGAUGAAGGCUUUCGGGUCGUAAAACUCUGUUAUUAGGGAAGAACAAGUGCUAGUUGAUUAAGCUGGCACCUUGACGGUACCUAACCAGAAAGCCACGGCUAACUACGUGCCAGCCGCCGCCGUAA